UGUGUUCUUCAGACCCCCACUGUCGCACACCACUGACGUCAGCAGGAUUGCCUGCUGAGUACCUCCCUCUAUCGUGUUCGGAUCCGGUCUCCGAAAGGUUUAUUUGGUUCUUCGUUCCGUAUUUUUCUGGUUCCACCAAUGCCACUGACUUAAGGCUGAUUUGCACUACUGUGUUGAAUCUACGUACGUGGCCUACGCCAUUGUGAGCAUUUAUACUUGUGCCCUGUGGUGUUUGCGUCGCUCUGCAAUUACACCGCCAAAACUCUGGUUGGCGGUGGGGUUUAUUUGCCACUGUGUCGAGUUUCCUCCUAUACAGUGGCGACUGUAACUAUGUUGGAGUUGAAGCUUCAGACCAGUUCGUUUUACUGAAAUCACUGCAACGCAGAAAAGACAGAAGACGUCGGGGGAGAUUGUGUGUACGACCAUUGAACCGAUCGAGGCAGGAGGACGGUGAAUUUUCUGUGCUUGUCCGGCCACUGAGAGACGUGGAUGAGGAAAUGCAUUUUUAAUAUUUUCGGAUGUCGGCCGGUCGAUUUGACGGAUUUGGCUAGUCGUCUGCAACCAUUUAUUUCGCACAAGUGUAAGCACAAUAUACUCCAUUCGCGUUUUAGCUUCAGGUGGAGACCAACCAGGCGUCAAGCACAGUGUCCCCCAUAGUUUCAGAGGUCUGUAAAGCUUUGUGGAAAGCACUGCAGCCAGAGUUCCUUCCCUGCCCUUCAGUCGCCCAAUGGGAAACUAUUGCAGCUGAUUUUUGGCGACUAUGGAACUUACCGAACUGUGUCGGCAGCGUGGACGGAAAACGCGUGAACAUCAAGGCACCGCCGCAUGCCGGGAGCAACUACUACAACAACAAAGGCACACUCCAUUGUCCUGAUGGCUACCUGCGACGCCAGAUACCGGUUUACCAUGGUGGAUGUAGGGGGAUAUGGACGGGGAAGUGGCGGGGGCAUCUUCUGGAACAGCAAAUUUGGUUCUAUGCUUCUUGUACACAAACUGAACCUGCCCUCCCCAGCCAGUCUUUCUGGUACAGGAGUCAAAAUCCCGCAUGCAAUCGUUGGCGAUGCUACACAACAAUCUCAUGCGUCCCUUUCCAGACUCGGACACUACAGAGUCACUUCAGGCUGGCGAGUGGAGAAGAGUGGUGGCAGGGGACGCAGAUCUUUUGGAACCUUUCGAUCCUCAUUACUUUUCGAGGUGCCCUUCCACCGGAGCUGCAACCGGUGUACGGAAUGACCUGACGGCCUUCUUUCAAUCGCCCCGCGGAACUGUGCCAUGGCAGAACAGCAUUGUGGAGCAAAUAGGCUCCUUGUUGCAGGUUUAUGCACUUGUGAAUCGCGUUGGUUUCAAAGUGUCUGCUAAAUGUCUAAAAUGUAAACAUUUCAGGCUUGUGUAAAUUUGAAAUAAAGGGUUAUACAUUUGAAUAUC